UACGGAGGGAGCUAGCGUUGUUCGGAAUUACUGGGCGUAAAGCGCACGUAGGCGGCCUUGUAAGUUAGAGGUGAAAGCCCAGGGCUCAACCCUGGAAUUGCCUUUAAGACUGCAUCGCUUGAACACGGGAGAGGUGAGUGGAAUUCCGAGUGUAGAGGUGAAAUUCGUAGAUAUUCGGAAGAACACCAGUGGCGAAGGCGGCUCACUGGACCGUUGUUGACGCUGAGGUGCGAAAGCGUGGGGAGCAAACAGG
rnacentral:rRNA from 1 species